AGAGUUUGAUCCUGGCUCAGAUUGAACGCUGGCGGCAUGCCUUACACAUGCAAGUCGAACGGUAACAGGGAGCUUGCUCCGCUGACGAGUGGCGAACGGGUGAGUAAUAUAUCGGAACGUACCCAGGAGUGGGGGAUAACGUAGCGAAAGUUACGCUAAUACCGCAUACGCCCUAAGGGGGAAAGUGGGGGAUCGCAAGACCUCAUGCUCAUGGAGCGGCCGAUAUCUGAUUAGCUAGUUGGUGGGGUAAAGGCCUACCAAGGCGACGAUCAGUAGCUGGUCUGAGAGGACGACCAGCCACACUGGAACUGAGACACGGUCCAGACUCCUACGGGAGGCAGCAGUGGGGAAUUUUGGACAAUGGGCGCAAGCCUGAUCCAGCAAUGCCGCGUGAGUGAAGAAGGCCUUCGGGUUGUAAAGCUCUUUUGUCAGGGAAGAAAAGGGAUCGGAUAAUACCUGGUCCUCAUGACGGUACCUGAAGAAUAAGCACCGGCUAACUACGUGCCAGCAGCCGCGGUAAUACGUAGGGUGCAAGCGUUAAUCGGAAUUACUGGGCGUAAAGCGUGCGCAGGCGGUUUCGUAAGUCUGUUGUGAAAUCCCCGGGCUUAACCUGGGAAUGGCAAUGGAGACUGCGAGGCUAGAGUUUGGCAGAGGGGGGUAGAAUUCCACGUGUAGCAGUGAAAUGCGUAGAUAUGUGGAGGAACACCGAUGGCGAAGGCAGCCCCCUGGGUCAAAACUGACGCUCAUGCACGAAAGCGUGGGGAGCAAACAGGAUUAGAUACCCUGGUAGUCCACGCCCUAAACGAUGUCUACUAGUUGUCGGGUCUUAAUUGACUUGGUAACGCAGCUAACGCGUGAAGUAGACCGCCUGGGGAGUACGGUCGCAAGAUUAAAACUCAAAGGAAUUGACGGGGACCCGCACAAGCGGUGGAUGAUGUGGAUUAAUUCGAUGCAACGCGAAAAACCUUACCUACCCUUGACAUGGAAAUCCCGGAGAGAUUUGGGAGUGCUCGAAAGAGAACCAUCACACAGGUGCUGCAUGGCUGUCGUCAGCUCGUGUCGUGAGAUGUUGGGUUAAGUCCCGCAACGAGCGCAACCCUUGUCAUUAGUUGCUACGAAAGGGCACUCUAAUGAGACUGCCGGUGACAAACCGGAGGAAGGUGGGGAUGACGUCAAGUCCUCAUGGCCCUUAUGGGUAGGGCUUCACACGUCAUACAAUGGUACAUACAGAGGGCCGCCAACCCGCGAGGGGGAGCUAAUCCCAGAAAGUGUAUCGUAGUCCGGAUUGUAGUCUGCAACUCGACUACAUGAAGUUGGAAUCGCUAGUAAUCGCGGAUCAGCAUGUCGCGGUGAAUACGUUCCCGGGUCUUGUACACACCGCCCGUCACACCAUGGGAGCGGGUUUUACCAGAAGUAGGUAGCUUAACCGCAAGGAGGGCGCUUACCACGGUAGGAUUCGUGACUGGGGUGAAGUCGAAACAAGGUA
rnacentral:rRNA from 1 species